UCUCUCUCUCUCUCUCUCUCUCAUGGAUCGUUGAGAUACAGCUGCAAACACGCAGGCAAGCUGGCCUAAUGGGAACCCCGUCUUAAUAGAGUAACAGGCACCAGGUGGGGCCCACCAUCUGGUGUGCAAAGCCUCUCCGCACCUUUCCUUUUCAUGUUGCCCAAGAAUAGAAGAAAGACGGUAUGGGAAUGUACAAAGACAGAAAUAUUGUAGAUGAUAUGGAAAGAGAGAUGCUAGAAUAUUUGAUGAUAAGCAUGGUCGAGGAAUUGUGGACAGCAUUUCAAUCAAAAUGGCGCAUUGGAUUAAAACCUUAGAAUCUUUUGCCCCUUUGUCCAAAGAUGGCAUCCCUAGGAGUUGACAGCACAUGGCAUCCUCUUCCACAACAAGAUCUACUCCCUUAGGGCAAUGGAACCCUCUAACACAUAACAGAUCAAGUUAAACUUUGACAGGUGCAACAUGGCUAAUCCUAGGCUGAGGCAUUGGGGGAGUUCCUAGCAAAUAACAAGAGAUUAUGUUAGCCACUUUCAAAUCCAGUAGGCAUUAGACGUUCUACAAAAGCUUAAGCUUAGCAGUAUUGUGGGGUUUGAGGUUGAGUAGAACGACUCAACAUCUGGAACAUAGUGGUAGAAAGGGACUCUAAAGUGGUACAAACUUUAGUGAAAGUUUUUGGUGAUAAAGAGAUGUUAUAA